rnacentral:rRNA from 1 species
UACGUAGGGUGCGAGCGUUGUCCGGAAUUAUUGGGCGUAAAGGGCUCGUAGGCGGUUUGUCGCGUCGGGAGUGAAAACCCAGGGCUUAACUCUGGGCUUGCUUUCGAUACGGGCAGACUAGAGGUAUGCAGGGGAGAACGGAAUUCCUGGUGUAGCGGUGAAAUGCGCAGAUAUCAGGAGGAACACCCGUGGCGAAGGCGGUUCUCUGGGACGGUACUGACGCUGAGACGCGAAAGCGUGGGGAGCGAACAGG